AUGUCCCAGUGGAGACCCUUAGGCAAGAUGGAGGAGUUCAGAUACGCAGCCUGCCAGAAGGACAUCACCCGGGAGGGGUUGCCAGCCUUGAACUAUAGGCGCUGGCAUUCAGAACCUCGGGGAACGACUGUAUGCUGCCAUGAAGAACUCCAGGCUACCACCCCCCUCAGGGCAGUGUCAUGUUGUCAAGAGCGACCAGGAGAAUCCAAACGGCAGCGGAAAGGUUCUCUGCCUGGUUCCCAUGAGGAGCCUUCGGCCACGGGAAGGUCGGCAGCGUCCUUACUGGACUUGAUAACGUUUUGA
rnacentral:lncRNA from 1 species